ACACCCUCCGCUCCCCUCAUGGAGGAGCCGCCAUGUUGUCAGUGUACAAUGCUGCUUCGAAGGGACAGCCGCAGCCCGGCCCCAUGGGCAAGCAGCGCUUUGUGUCCCCCUAAAACCCCGGCAGAGUGUCCCCCUGGAGCUCAGUCAGUACAUGCAGUGAUGUGUAUCCCCCAAGAAGCCCAUGUCGAUGCCCCCAUGGAGCUCCAUCAUGCCUCAGCCCUGAAGUGAUGUGGACACAAUGGUUGCCACUGACCCCCUGAGAGACGUCCAGGUGCCUGCAAAAGGAGUCAGGAAAACAACUGUGUUGUCGGAAACUGAUCUGCAGAUACUAAAAGACCACAAUGGUUUGGAGUUUGUUACAAUAUAGCAUUCAGAUCCACGCUGGAGGGUUGAUGUGAACAGCAUCAGUCGUUAAAUGUUCUGAAGUCAGAGGAGCCAUGUAGAAAUCAGCGACAAGUACCGAACAUAGCAUGCAACAGAUGGAGAGGGUACCAAGGUCGGACCGUCUGCGGAUUUUACAAGUUCCAUGGAAUGUUUUCAGACCGCACUCUUAACCUCAGACACUCCUAUCGGAUUUCAUAGGAUUCAGCCACUUUUUAGCCCCAGGGUGCUGUAGGUGCUAAAUAGAUUAUCUACAUCUCUCAGCCACUAUGGAACAACCACACAGCAAAGCUCAGUUUUUAAUCCUGCUGAGACUCUGACUGCUUUCGGCCAUCAGGUAUCCCACGGCUUCACGAGAGGAAAUGUUAAUCUGGAAUGCUGGCCAAACUCCAGUUUAGGUAAUUAUAUUCUGACAAUUUACAUUUUCCCUGCAGUUUUUUAAUGGAUAUGGAAAUUUUUUUCUUCUCUUAUUUUAUGACAUAAAAGCAGUGGCCUGGUCGUGCUCCUGCUGUUGGAGCAGCUGCCAGGCUUUGUAGCUUAAGUAGCUGCAUUUCAGUGGUAGGUAAAGGCAUCUCAGCAGAGUUAAAUAAAGCCCUUUGAAGACCCCAUGGGCACAAGGAGUAUUGUAACAAUAAACCCCACUUGCCAUAAAGCAUGGCAAGGGCUGGAACAUGAAAUGAAACACCCAGGAAUGGAAAUGUCAGCACAGGAAUGGACACACAGACCCUUCCCUCCCAAAUCCUAAUUCUGCUUUGGACCUACUGCAGCCCCAGCUGGGAUCCAAAGAGCAAACACAAUGGACUGCCAGCAUCCUGCACAGAGGAACCAGUUCCUGAUAGCAAAAGAAAAUAAGCUUAUAAAAGUAGUGGAAGCUUUUGGCAAGAUGCUGGAGGACACUGCCUGGUGCUUAAAUGGGAUGAGGAAAAGAGAAGCCUGUUCCCUUGUUAAUGAGGGCGCAGUUACUGGUUUCGUUUUACCUGCCUUUGUAAAAGAAAAAUCAUUGGGUGAGAAAUGGAGCAGAAGGUUUUGUUUGGGGUGGAAUAUUAUGGAUCACACUCCGAGUAUGUCGAAUUACAUUGCCACAUGCUUGAUUAGGGACAAACAUUCUGGAUAAAUUAAUUAAAUUACUGUAUUAUCACAGAAUCACACAGUAGUAUGGGUUGGAAGGGACCUUAAAAAUCAUCUUGUUCCAACCCCAUUACCACAAUGAUUUGUUUAUAAAACCAUUCAUAACCACUCUGACUUCUUUUCUUCACAAGAAGCUUUCUGAAAGGUUCAUUUUCCUAUUGCAACAACAAUUAUUUAAGUUCUGAGAGAUGAAGACAGUGGUGACAAAUAAACCAUGAGAUACUGGAUGGAUACAGGCAUGUGCAGCUUUCCUUCCUUUUAGAUCACUGUCAACCAAAGGCUGUUACCAUUACUAGGCAGGGAGCAGCAGAGGAAGUAAAAUGGGUGAAGUGAUGCUACAAUGGAGAUCAGCAGGAAGUUUUGGCCACUAAACUUGAAUUUCAGCUGAUAUGGUUUAACCAAGAUAAAGAAGCACCUAGCUAAGCCUCCUCACUAAAAGAAAGCAGACGAGCAGCUACACCUCACUCCGGGCUACUUUUGCCCAAACUGCCACUGCAUUUCAACUGAAAACCAGUUUUAUUGCAAAUAGAGAUGGGCAUCCACGGGCCUGAGGUGUGCCAGGGCAGCUCAGGGCCCCCGCUGACGGAUCCCAUGGAACAGCUGGAAGAUCUCGCUGCCUCCUCGGGGCUGACUGGUACCGCUCACGCAGCAGCUGGAGCUCCACCCCUCCCCGAGGCUCUGAAGCCAGAAACCCCAGCAGGAAUUACAGUCAGAAGGGAAGGUGAACUGUGAAAUGAAAGCUGCGAGAGAAAGAAUUGCUUGGGCUUUUGUUUGAAAUUUUCAGAGUUUUCUGAUUUUUGGUUGGAGAAAAUCUCAAGAUUGGCAAACCAAGGCCAGAGCCAGUGAAAGUCUGGGACAGGACCACAGCACAUGAGGACAGUGUCACUCAAGGCAGCCAGGAACAUUGGAUUCUUUACCAUUUUGAUACCAUCUGAAGGUGGAUCUGUUCCUAAGCCAUGCUGGAGAUACAUCAGGGCUGAUGAGUGAUUUUCAUUACCCUCUUUGCCUCCUUCCAGCCCCUCUACAUUGCUGCCAGCACUUCCUCCUUCUGCUGCAUUUCAGGAAUAAGGAGUUUCCCCUGCUCUGGACACACUCCCACCUCCCAGACAGAUGAGUGGAAAGCGAGCCUGGCUUUGCUGCCAGCUCCUGCUGGGAGCUCAAUGCUCCCCUCGCCAUGCCGGGCACUUGGCUGGCCGGCAAAUUGUCCCUUUGUGGAGCCACAUGGCCAAACUGUGUCCCCCAGCUCCCCAGCAAAGCUGGGGAAAUCACAGAGAUCAUCCACUGGCAGCCCCAGAUGCUCGUUAGCAUUUCCUAUUAAUUUAAUUAAUUAGUUUAACAACUUCCUGUUAAUUUCCUAUCAUCAUCAUUGCCUUAUCAACUAAUAGGAACAAAGCCAUAAUUAAACCACCAGGAAUGCGACCCAGUGACAGUCACAACCACCAAAAGCUAUUUUUUGGGAAAAUAAGAGUUUUUUAAGUGCCUUUGUUUUUAGAGAGUGGCCCACGCAAGCAGCUGAGGGCUUUGCAGCUGAACUGGACAAGUUCAGACUCCUUCAGAAAGAAAAAGCAUCCCUGGGCCACAUUCCAUAGAAAACUCUGUUUUUUCCAAGGGAAUACAGAAAGGGCAGGGAUGUGACACAGAGCCCCGAGAGCAGCUCCAUCUCCUUCUGCCCCUGGACACCCCAGAACCUCCUCCCUGGCAGAUCCAAAAACCAGCACAUCUGGAAAGAGCCACGCCUGGCUGGGAGCAGUCAGCAGAUGUAAACAUCCAUCUGACAGCCAGCAGUGCCCACCACUCCUCAGGCAGGUGAAGGGACACCAGGACCUCUUCUGGUCCUGCUACAAGAACCAUGAAACUUCUGCCUGACCAUUUCCAGGCAGCUGCUUCCAGGACCCACCAGGGACCAGCUACAGAUAGAAUGAAAACAAAUGCUGCCAUGGGACUGGAAACCCUUUCCUCAUUCCCUAGGGAGACAGAGAAAUAGAAGAAAUGAAGGAAGCAGUUGUGAGCCUUCAACUCACCCAAAUCCUUUUUGGGAUCCCCAGUGGCCAAAUCACAGCUGCCACAAAAACUGAUGUCGGCAACGUGGGAGUGGAUGUUCCCUCACCUUCUUAUUUUUGCUGGAUACAACUGAUUCAAGUUUCUGGGCACAAAACCAGUUGGAAAGAGCCUGUUCCCAGAGAUGUAUGUCUGCUAGAAAAACCAGAGCUGGAUGUCACUGUGACAUGAGAGAUGUAUGCGCCACCUCCAGCCUGAAUCCCAUCCUCGAAAUCAGCAGAAAGGAGCCAAAUCAAAGCAACUGUCUGCAUUUGGCUUUAUCUGCUACAAAAUGUCAAACCCCUCCACAGGAAUUGCAACAUUUCCAUCCUCCCUCCCUCCAAAGCAGGAAGACUGGUACAAAGAAGCCAAAAAAUGUAUCAAAAAUAAAAUGCAUCAUCUCCACCAGCCUCAAAUGGAGUGGAGCUGGAGGUGCCUCUUGGACAACAAAGGGUCCUGCAGGGGAAAAACCUACCUGAGUUUCUCCACGCUCCCUUGUGCCUCCUCUGAAUUUGCUUCCCAUGCAUCCAUUUAUAAGAAAAUGUGAGAGCACGUGUGGCAUGCUGGAAAUAUUAUGACUAAUGGAUGGAACCCGUGCAACGUGUCAAAAUCUUCCCUCUCCCCCGAUGUAACAGCAUUUCACACACACUCGAGGCAUUGGCACCUACAGUUAAUCUGUUUUCUUGUAAGAGGAUGGAAUGCAUUUAAUGAAUGACAGUGAUUUUGUGUCUCACCAGGAGAUUCUGCGCUGGCAUCCCUGCAGAGAAGCCACAGGUUCCCCCAGGCCAUUGCUACAGGAUCAAUAGGCUCACAUCCCCCCUUAUUUAUUUUGGAAGAGCACAUCAGGGCACAAGACAUCAUUUCAUUUUGAAUGUUUUUUCCCCCAUCUCUGGUCUUUGAUGGCACUGGUCUGCAUCUCCUCAUCACUCCUGCACACAUCCUGCACUGCUGGGACUGCACAGGCUCUUCCAGCAGGGAGAAAACUCUGCCCAAGGUUUCUCUGGGACCAUUUAUAGUCUCAUAUCAAUGAGAACCAGCACCUUCGCCCCUGAAAUCAGCUCCUGCUUUGGACGGGCACAUUCCCGUGAUCACUGGGCCACGGCUGGGCUCCAGUGCCCACACCUGGCCAGGUCUGCAGCAGUGGCAUCGGGCAGAGAAACACCUCAGCACCUUUUGCUUUCAGCAGGGAUCAAAGUGCCCGAGUUCUCCCUCCUUUGCAGCAUCCCUUCCCUCCCGAGCCGAGCAGCGCUGGCCGCGGGGCCGGCACAUCCCUGGGCACAGCAGCACGGCCCUGCCAGGGCAGCCACGCUCACACUUCCCACGUCUGCAGCAUCUCAGCCUGGAGCAGAAACCCUGCAAAGCCCCUUCCUGCAGCAACCGAGGAGAAAAACACGCAGAGGAAAGCCCGAGGGAGGCAGAGCACAGAGCAGCCCCCGCGGGGAGCGGGGUUUGCGCGAAGGAGCAGAAGUUUCUUUGCUCGGCACGUUUGGAGGUGAAGCUUGGCCGGGGCUGGAGGGAGCCCAGACUGCCCAGAGCAGAGCGGAGCACAAAGAAACCCAGCCCCAGCAUGAUGAAAUACGAGUUUAUUUGCUUUAGCUCGGGUCCAACUUCCCUCCCUGGCUCAGGAAAAAUGUCUUUGCUGUUGCCCUGGCUGGGGGCUUUGGUGCAAAGCAGGUUUUUAACCAACUGCAAGCACAACUGGAGAGAGAUGGCGAGUCCUGAGCACCCCGAGAUCCACGACACGAAGGGAGACCUGAGCAAGGAACCGGGACCAGAGCAUCCUGACUCCUCCAAACCCUUCGGCUCUGCCCGGUUCACAUCCCACACACGGAGUUAAGGCGGCCGUAGCUGAACCGUGAGAGGUACCACGACACCGCCGAGAUUCCUCCUUAAGGGCAGCCCAAACCAUUCCCGGCUCCCUUCCCUGCAGGGAUUUCUCCUUGUGCCACAGAAGCCCUUCCAAAGCUUCCAAUUUUCCUUGCAUUCCCCAUGGCCCAAAUUGCCAAACUCGAACGCAACUUUCAGCGGGGGCAGAGCAGCCUCCGCCCGCUGUUCCAAUCGCAGCCGCCACAUUAAACCUGAUUUAUGUUGCACCAUCCCGGCGCAGCGGGAGAGGAGCCGCUGCCACCCCGGGGCCACCGGCACGAGUUUCCCCCAACUUUGGGGACCUGGAUAAAAACCCAUUCCCCCCUCCAAGAAGGCAGCUGCCGGCUCAGCCAGGCUUCAUCCCGCCGGAAAAACCUCCAGUCCCCAAACACCCCCGGCCCCAGGGACAUGCAGAGCCCCCGGGACAUCUCCAGCCCGGGUAGGGAGAGGAAGGAGGAGGAGGAGGAGGAUGGGUCCCCUCCAUCCCGGGAGGGGCUGGUGCUGCUCCCCGGCUGAGUCCGGGGCGCCCCUCCUGUGGGGCAGGGAGUGAUU